UCUCAGGACAUGCCCUGAAACAAGGGUCACCUUGCCCAGCAAAAACCAGUCCUCCCAAUCCAUAGGGACAGGUGGAAGCUCAGUGAAAGGAGCACAGGAAAAAUUCCGGGCCGUUGUCAGUGUGUCGACAUGCCAAGGUGGGAAGAGGCAUGCCAGAAUCAGCUCAAGACAGAGGAACGGGCGGCCGGCAGCAAGAAGAACUGACCCAUAUUUGCCUGGGACUGAACGAAUAGAAGCAUAUAAAAGAAUGAAUUCUCUGCUUUGACUGUCCUGGUACGUGAAACGCCAGAGCAUCCUACAGGAACAUACGAGACUCAGCAUGUUACAGGUACCCCCCUCCCUCGGAGAGCCUCCCUAUCCGGUGCCUGAGAAGACAAGGGCUUUGCAGCCUACUUGCCCAUGGAACAGAGUUUUCCAGUGACAGGUAGAAACUGUGGGUGAGAGCGAUAACCAAGGAUCUACAAAGAAAAGAGAGUCUAGACAACCCAGAUUACAGAAUAGAACUUUCUAGUCUCAGCACACAGUCAUCCCGACUUCUGCUUGCUCGUCUUCUUGAGGACAGCUAACUCUCCGGAUGCAAGCUGAAGCUCCCGACUUGUCUAACAUUUACCCAAGACUUCCCCUGAAGCGACAGAGUGGUGUUUGGUUCCAACGGGUUCUGCAACUUGAAGAGAUUCUAUAGCUGGGUGUCUGGGUUGGGAGACGUGAGCUCAGAGGCAGGUGAAACUAAGGAAGAGUGAGGUGGGAAGACGUUGGAAGAGGGCAGCUCAGAACUCCAUGGAGGAUAAACACGAGAUUCCUGCAGAAGGAACCUUCCAGGUCCCUUCUGACAAGCGGGAGGGGAGGGGAAGAUGGGUGGAAAUAGGACAAGCCUGGAAGUGGAGGUCUCACCUCGCUGGGCACCCCCCAACCCCGGCGUGCCACUGGGUCCAUGCCUGAGGCUUGUUCCUGGUGACCAGGGGUGACUAUUUCCCUGUCUGAUGUGUCAUAUUAGUAAUUGAUAGUAAAGUAACACGGCAUGAUUUUGCCCUUUAUCACCAUAACACUUGGACUUUUCAGGAAUGCGUAUCUUUCCUCUCUCCAAAAAGGAGU